rnacentral:rRNA from 1 species
UACGAAGGGGGCUAGCGUUGCUCGGAAUCACUGGGCGUAAAGCGCACGUAGGCGGCUUUCUAAGUCAGGGGUGAAAUCCUGGAGCUCAACUCCAGAACUGCCUUUGAUACUGGAGAGCUUGAGUCCGGAAGAGGUGAGUGGAACUGCGAGUGUAGAGGUGAAAUUCGUAGAUAUUCGCAAGAACACCAGUGGCGAAGGCGGCUCACUGGCCCGGUACUGACGCUGAGGUGCGAAAGCGUGGGGAGCAAACAGG